rnacentral:rRNA from 1 species
AUUGAACGCUGGCGGCAGGCUUAACACAUGCAAGUCGAGCGGGGUGAUGGUGCUUGCACUAUCACUUAGCGGCGGACGGGUGAGUAAUGCUUAGGAAUCUGCCUAUUAGUGGGGGACAACAUCUCGAAAGGGAUGCUAAUACCGCAUACGUCCUACGGGAGAGAGCAGAGGAUCACUUGUGACCUUGCGCUAAUAGAUGAGCCUAGGUCGGAGUAGCUAGUUGGUGGGGUAAAGGCCUACCAAGGCGACGAUCUGUAGCGGGUCUGAGAGGAUGAGCCGCCACACUGGGACUGAGACACGGCCCAGACUCCUACGGGAGGCAGCAGUGGGGAAUAUUGGACAAUGGGGGGAACCCUGAUCCAGCCAUGCCGCGUGUGUGAAGAAGGCCUUAUGGUUGUAAAGCACUUUAAGCGAGGAGGAGGCUCUUUUGGUUAAUACCCAAGAUGAGUGGACGUUACUCGCAGAAUAAGCACCGGCUAACUCUGUGCCAGCCGCCGCAGUAA